rnacentral:rRNA from 1 species
GACGAACGCUGGCGGCGUGCCUAAUACAUGCAAGUCGAGCGGACGGAUGGGAGCUUGCUCCCAGACCGUCAGCGGCGGACGGGUGAGUAACCCGUGGGCAACCUGCCUGUAAGACUGGGAUAACUCCGGGAAACCGGGGCUAAUACCGGAUAACUCUUUCCCUCCCAUGAGGGAAAGCUGAAAGAUGGCAUCUCGCUAUCACUUACAGAUGGUCCCGCGGCGCAUUAGCUAGUUGGUGAGGUAACGGCUCACCAAGGCGACGAUGCGUAGCCGACCUGAGAGGGUGAUCGGCCACACUGGGACUGAGACACGGCCCAGACUCCUACGGGAGGCAGCAGUAGGGAAUCUUCCGCAAUGGACGAAAGUCUGACGGAGCAACGCCGCGUGAGUGAUGAAGGUUUUCGGAUCGUAAAACUCUGUUGUCAGGGAAGAACAAGUACCGGAGUAACUGCCGGUACCUUGACGGUACCUGACCAGAAAGCCACGGCUAACUACGUG